AAUCAUAUACCUUGCCUAUUGUAUUAGAGAUAGCUUGUUAUAAGAUACCCGGGCGUCGCCCCGGCCUUAGUUUUGCGGCUUUCGGAGUUUAGUUGGAGUUAGAAGUCAUCGGAGUAAACACUAGUUCUUUGGAGUUCAUACAAGUUUAGCAGAAUAUUUCAAGUUUUCUGAACUAUUACACCGGAACAAACUUUUCACCGAAUUGUACGAAUUGUUUCAUUGUUUGUGAGAGAGGUCAGAGUGGAGCGGAGUUCUGAAUAAAACCCAUUCAAUGGUA